CCGGCUUCACCUCUCACUGGCACUCGCCUGUGGCGCCUAGCCCGGGCACUCCGGCAGCCCAGUUGGAGCUCCUCCCGCAAUCAAGCCCAGCAGCUGCUGGCCAGCCACGCCCAGUGUGGGGCCGCCAAGCCCCCGCCCACCCGGAACUCUUGAAGGCCUGUGAGCGCCACCAGAAGCCCCGGCUCCCGCAGGCGCCUCUCGCUCCACACCUCCACGCAAGCAGAGGGAGUCGGCUCCAGCCUCGGCCAGCCCCAGAGAGGGGCCCCCACAGUGCAGUGGCGGCCAGAGCGGAUGCCGAGGCCCAGGAGAGGCCGAGAGUGAGCGAGGGCUGCUAGCACGUUGUCACCUCUCACUAACACCAGAAGAGGUGGAGAUGGUCCAUAUUUACAACAUUUGUUGCAGACAAUGAGACAAAUUUAGUCCAUACUCCACAAAUUGCCAGAAGUAAUGUUAUUUGACCCAACAGGAGGGAGAAAGCGGAAUUUGUGUGGAGAGUAAGAUGCUGAUGUUUGGAUGUGCAGAGAAGAGUUUCCAUAUAGCAGGAAAAGCCCUUUUUCCUUUCUCUCCAGCUUGUAAGGAAGAGUCUAGAUAUUCCCACAUAGCACUAAGUUCUUCUAAGGGACAAUACUGGAAAAAGAAGAAAUCACAAGCUGGGUAAAAAGAUAUACCAGAGUUUAGUUUUGAGAAGGGAUGCAGUGCUUGAGAGAAGAAGCUAUCAUCCACAUGAACCAUGAGGUAAAGAGACAGAGAUUGGAUGGAGGAAUUUAAAAUAUAAUUCCUUUUUAUUAGUAAUAUUCUUUCUGUCCUUUGGUAUUUAUUAAAAUAUUGAGUAGAU